CAACGCAUACCUUCGCACACUGCGAUCCAAUUUUCGCCACACAAUCACGGAAAACACUCGCGUCGCGGUAUCGCUGCAGCGUGCUCAGAGACCGGCAUUCAGCUGUUUAUUCCGCGAGACUGUGGUCGCGGCCGCCGCGAUUCUUGCAGCACGUCGCGAAGCCGGCGGACAUCACUUCCUCAUUCCGCGGCAGGCGCGUGCGCAGCGAUCCCGCGGGGUUCCACGGCAUAGGCGAUUCUUACUCCCUCGCCCGAUUUUGCAUGUUAAUUGGCGGGCAGGUGGGUUUUCGGGGUUUUGACGAGAGCGCGUGGUGGUGUCGAGAUGGAGGAGAAGCCGCGAAUGUACAGGGUAGCCCAGCGAAAAUGGUGCAGCAGGGUUUGAUGUUGCGUUGAUCUACGAGGGUGGUUUGAGAAGUUUUCGAGCUCAGCAUGAAGAUGGCAGCACCAUAAAUGAGAGCUAGUGAAUUUCGUUGUUUAUAUGUUGACGGUUACUCACCAAAGUUUCGGUCAUUUUGGACGUACAGUUGAUAUGUAACGUCGUUUGAGUUAAUUGAUGACAAUACGCCUACGCAAAUCAAAGAUGAGUUGGAUUAUCUGUAUCUGCACCAUCUUUGACCACAGUGAAAAUGGAAAAAAAUGAAGAUAACCAUGAGAUAAAGGAUGCAAAAACUUUCGAAAAGUGCUUCGAAAAUAAUAAUAAGUCAAUAAUAACUGUAUUGUUGUAGGUAUUAGAUAAUGCCCCCUAGAAAACUGGAAGCAAGUCCAACUCAGCAUCAAGGGAAUCUUAUAUUCAAGACUGGCUGCUUUCUAAAAGUAUUCAAUUUGAAGAAAUAUUACUUACAGUGAAAAUUUUAGCAAUAUUUAAUGAGCACAAUACUACAUUCAAAUUUGCGGACAACUAGAAUGGCAACAGUAAAUAAAGUAGUGUUUACUCAA